rnacentral:sRNA from 1 species
ACAAUAUUUACUUCGAGAAGGCGAGAAAAAUCUUAAACGUGGGCGGACCUGAGAGCUGUUUAAACAAGAAGAAGACAAUUAAAGUAGGCGGAGAAAGAAUCAUCAGACCGAGAAAAGAAUGCCAUUCAAAAGCAUUCUUGACCUCAAGGAGGAAAAAACCUCGAGCUAUACCAUACUCGAAUGGUAUAACUGUCAAAGUGUUUACAAAAGGAACACCGCCAAAAACAACAAGAAUGGGUGAAGGCAAGAAUAGAUGUACCAAAUGCCAUAGAGGAAUCUGCAGUUUAAAUGAUCAUGCCCACAUCACCAAUAAAGAAGGUUUCUGAAACAAAGACUUCUCCAUGGAGAUCCAUUUUCUCUGUUAAGAGACAAAUAAUCAAAAAUGAAGCCUCAAAAACUGUUACGGUUAAUGGAACAACACAUUUAUUAGAUCAAUAACUCUUCAAGAAGAUAACCCAUGUACAUUGAUGUCACUCUUUAGACAGAACUUGCAGAACAAGAACAACAGAUAGGGAAUUCAAAUCAAAAUCUCCCAUUGUCUGUUGAAUGAGUUGCAAAAUAUGGAACUCUCAAUUCAAAAAAUACAGCCACUUCAAAUUUAAAUUAGUGGACACAUGGAAGCACUUAGGUCUACAAUUGCAAUAGGGCCAUUAAAGAACAAUCACUGGAUUCAAACUACAGGGACAUUACAGUUCAACUAUAAUCAGUAAUGAAACAACAUUAUCAGAAAGUGACAACCAUGCCUCCAGUCUCUCCUUCAAUGAACCAAAAGAUUAUCUCUUGGAGUAAAAUCCCAAUUAACAUUAUUACCACACAACAAGGAUCUGAAAUUCUCAGUCUGAACAUUGCAUUUACUGACAACAACCACAACACCAAUCUCAAAUGAGAAGGAGAUGGAUUUCAUACUGUAAUUUCAGCUCUAUUUAUCAACUCAAAUUUUUUUGUAUACUUCUGAAAAUUAAUUAUUCCCAAUAGUUAUGUAAAAUUCUGAGGAAAAAAAUUGUUUUCGAAGUAUACACUCUCCCUCCUUUUUAUAUAUGGUUAUAACAAAUAUCAUUCCAAUUUUUAGAAAAAAACAUUUUUUUUUUUAUUUAUAUCGUAAAGGAUUUAAACAAAAAUAUAUUCAAAAUGUGAAAGAACAUUUAAGCUUUUGUUGUGCAGCAAUAUUGCUUGUUGUGUGUACAUGUAUAUUAUAUGAAUUUUGCAAACAUUUUCCAUUUGUUACAAAUUAAGACAUGGUUAAACCUUAUCUGCAAUUUUUUGAUACACUUGUUUGUCCAUUACCGGUAUUGUUAUCGAUGAACAAUUUUGUGACAUGAUUACUAUUAAAGAAGUAUUGUUAUGGUUAUUAACAUCUUGCAGAUUGGAUUGUGCUUGUAUUUAAUUCAUACCUGAUGUACAUGUGUUGGUUUUUAGUUUGUUUUGUUUUUUAUCUUAUUACAUGUUGAAACCAAUCUCCAGCACCAUUAAAUUUCGUAUUUAAUUUUCUAGGCCAGCAAACAGAUUUUUGUAAUAUUUAUCACACUUAACUACAUUUUUUUAUUGAAGAAAAUAUGUUUUCCUUCAUCCUAAAGAACCUCUACUUGUUUAUUUUUUUUCAAUUCUUUUUUCAGUGUCAAAUAAUGUUUUACAUUACCAUUGUAAGCAUUUCUAACUUUGUAUUCAUUGUGAAAUUCUUUGCAAUAAAACUUGUUAAAUCUCUU